GCUCAUUCAGUCUUUCACUACCAAAGACACGGCGUGGUAAACUUCACAAAUCCACCGGGAAGAAUUAUGGUUAUCAUUAUAAAACUAAGUUUUCUUUGGCAGUCGCACAGCGAACACCAUGCAUCCGCAAUAAAAUGACUCGAUCCCUUUGUAACAGGGGUUCAGAUGGCACCACCAGGCCGACUAGCUGUUCUGGCCUGUAGAGGCGGCUGUACGAAGUCCGUGAUGUGAAGCUGCCAUCACGUCGUCAGGAGUUUGGUUUCAGUCUGAGACCAUGUGACCUGCAUUGGACCGCCCUCCACCCCAUCCCUCAGACUCUCAAUGCUGCAGUCUGGUUGGUCAAGCUGAGACCAUGUGACCUGCAGUGAUCCAUCAGCCCUCUGGUUCCAUAGAUGGGAGGGGCUUCCCACCACAAUGGCUGCCCAUCCUGUGGUUUCUCUGGAGUGUUGGUUUCAGAACCAGAAGUGUGCUGAUUGACUUCCAUCAUGUUGAAGUGGUGGUUACUACCUACAGCUGGUGUUAUCCAAUACAUGUGCUAUGUAUCAAGCUAAGCAUUGUAUGUGGGCCAAAUCGUGAGCUAAAUCUUGUAGUGAAUGUAGAGAUUGGCCAAGUUCAAGAGACUAGACUGUUUGAAUCCUGGAUUGUAAAACUGAAAUGGUACAUUUACUGAUUUAACAGUAGCUGGGGGGGGGGGUCCUGUCUGUAACACUGCUCUGGUUUCUUGAUAGUCAAUUAGUUUAGACCCUAGUUUUAGCACACCUGGGCUACAGUCCAAACACUUAAGAUGCACCCUACCCCCUUCAGCCCUCAUUAAGUGGACACUUCUGAUAUCAGACAGCAUUAUAGGUUGAGUGUACAUUUGCAGGGCAUGGAAGGAUUUUUAAAAUGGCUGCCCUUACCUGGAAAUCUAUUGCUCCUCCUGCGAUUUGUCUUUUAGCCACCAUAGUAUUGUAAGUCGCUCUGGAUAAGAGCGUCUGCUAAAUGACUUAAAUGUAAAUGUAAAAUGUAGCUUGUGGGUGCUUUUAUGUGCUACAGUCAAUUAUAAUUGCAUGUCUAAAUAUCUUAGCAAAUUAAUUAGUUACCUACCGUUAGCCUGUAGCUGGAACAUUGAAGAUAAAUGUAGUAAUACAAUUUCCAAAAGCUAACCAAAUAGUACUUUAUGAGAUGUUUGUACUGUCAUGUGCAUUAGUAGUACAAUUUAGAACUUAUUUACGUUCACUUGUAAAUUGACCACUAAAACGAGGGCUGAGGGGGCUUACGUUGUGAGCUUCCCUUGCUUGGCUAAUAAUUUGCACUGCCUGCCAAGAUGGUGACUUUAUUCCCCCAAGGGCAUAGAGUGAGGGUUUUUAGUUUGGACUGUGGCCCUGUACUAAUGUCCCGUUAUAUAGUGAAGUGCCACAAAGGACACAGGCAAAUUAGUUUGCCCAGAAUGGCAGUGCAACUGGCAUUUAAUGGGUACUUCAGGAUUUUGGCACACAGUAAGGGUACUGUUUUUAUUUAUGUAGGCUGUAGUUUAUUACUUAUUUUGUUUACCGUUUCUGUUAUCCUCACCCUGCCUCUAUCUGGACCCUACAGUCAGCAGCAGUAUCUUGGGUCUUUUGUUCUGUUAAGGUAGUCAAUAAAGUUUUUACAAUGUG